GAGUUUGAUCCUGGCUCAGGAUGAACGCUAGCGGCAGGCUUAACACAUGCAAGUCGAGGGGCAUCGCGGGUAGCAAUACCUGGCGGCGACCGGCGGAAGGGUGCGUAACACGUGAGCAACUUGCCCGUCACAGGGGGAUAAUCGCUGGAAACGGCGUCUAACAUCCCAUAACAUAUGGUAUCGCAUGGUGCCAUAUUGAAAACUCCGGUGGUGACGGAUGGGCUCGCGGGGCAUUAGGUAGACGGCGGGGUAACGGCCCACCGUGCCGACGAUGUCUAGGGGUUCUGAGAGGAAGAUCCCCCACACUGGGACUGAGACACGGCCCAGACUCCUACGGGAGGCAGCAGUGAGGAAUAUUGGACAAUGGGGCAACCCUGAUCCAGCCAUGCCGCGUGCGGGACUAAGGCCCUAUGGGUCGUAAACCGCUUUUGUCGGGGAGCAAUAAGGUCUACGUGUAGACUGAUGAGAGUACCUGGCGAAUAAGCAUCGGCUAACUCCGUGCC
rnacentral:rRNA from 1 species